UACUACUUGGAUAACCGUGGUAAUUCUAGAGCUAAUACAUGCUAAAAACCCCGACUCCGGAAGGGGUGUAUUUAUUAGAUAAAAAACCAAUGCCCUCCGGGGCUCCCUGGUGAUUCAUAAUAACUCAACGAAUCGCAUGGCCUUGCGCCGGCGAUGGUUCAUUCAAAUUUCUGCCCUAUCAACUUUCGAUGGUAGGAUAGUGGCCUACCAUGGUGGCAACGGGUAGCAACAGUGUCCCUGUUGCCCGUGCAUACUCCCGUCGGGCGGCCUUCGCUGUCGCCCGGCGACACCACUGGUUCAGAAGACACCCCUCGGCCAGCCGGGGGGUCGAUUCUGGGGCGAGCACCAACGGUGGUGCCGUCUCAACGCAUGUGAAGUGGUGGGCUCCCCCGCGAGCGGGGAGUCUUUGAUACAUGCUGACCCCCUGGCUUCCGGCCGGGUGCUGGUGAUUGAACGGGGAAUUAGGGUUCGAUUCCGGAGAGGGAGCCUGAGAAACGGCUACCACAUCCAAGGAAGGCAGCAGGCGCGCAAAUUACCCAAUCCCGACACGGGGAGGUAGUGACAAUAAAUACUGAUACAGGGCUCUUUUGGGUCUUGUAAUUGGAAUGAGUACAAUUUAAAUCCCUUAAACGAGGAACAAUUGGAGGGCAAGUCUGGUGGGCGGCAGCCGACGCCAGACGGGUGGUAUCGGUGGGGAGCUCCGGGGAGAGCUUCCUGCCAGGCAUCCGGCACGGGGAACGGGCGCUCUGUGCCCGAAUCCCGUGGUGGGAGUGCCCCCGGUCUUCGGGGUCUCCUGCCGUAACGCAUGGUAGGGUGCCGGCGGCGCACUGCGCCGUUUGAGGGACAUGCUUUUCAGGCCCGCAAGGGCGGGUCUACCUUCCGACUCCGGAGGGUGGGCCCAACUGAACUUAGGCCAGCAGCCGCGGUAAUUCCAGCUCCAAUAGCGUAUAUUAAAGUUGUUGCAGUUAAAAAGCUCGUAGUUGAACCUUGGGCCUGGCUGACCGGUCCGCCUCACCGCGUGCACUGGUUCGGCCGGGCCUUUCUUUCUGGGAAGCCGCAUGCCCUUCACUGGGUGUGCCGGGGAACCAGGACUUUUACUUUGAAAAAAUUAGAGUGUUCAAAGCAGGCCUAUGCUCGGAUACAUUAGCAUGGAAUAAUAGAAUAGGACGCGCGGUUCUAUUUUGUUGGUUUCUAGGACCGCCGUAAUGAUUAAUAGGGAUAGUCGGGGGCAUCAGUAUUCAAUUGUCAGAGGUGAAAUUCUUGGAUUUAUUGAAGACUAACUACUGCGAAAGCAUUUGCCAAGGAUGUUUUCAUUAAUCAGUGAACGAAAGUUAGGGGAUCGAAGACGAUCACAGAAGAGGGGGUCCCUAAGUCCUAGCGAGAGACCCUUGGGUGUCCGGUCGUCCACAGUGGGAAACUAGUCUGAACUGCUGUUCGGGCGACACUAUUCAACUGUAGGGGUCUCUAUGCUUCGUCCCGAAGUGUAGGCAACCUAAAGCCAAGUCCGCAGCCGCAAGUACCCGCCCGUACGGCGGCUUCGGAUGCAGUUUACAGACUGAAUGACAGUGGGCCGGGGCUUACCGGUUUUUGACAUAGUCGAGUCCAGGCAUGGGAGUGCCUUGGGAGCCACGCAGAUACCGUCGUAGUCUUAACCAUAAACUAUGCCGACUAGGGAUCGGACGGUGUUAUUAUUUUGACCCGUUCGGCACCUUACGAGAAAUCAAAGUCUUUGGGUUCUGGGGGGAGUAUGGUCGCAAGGCUGAAACUUAAAGAAAUUGACGGAAAGGCACCACCAGGCGUGAACGCCCAGUUCUAGUGGACUCUGCGCCUGGGAUCACAGCGUAUGCCCACUGCAUUUGCUGUUCGGUCAGGAGGGACCCUCCUGGCGAUACACUUAAACUGCGGGGAGUUUCGGAGGUCGCGGGUACUCCACUCGAGGUCGAAAGAUCCGAGCACAGUAACAAACCCGGGGGACCGUCGGACGGAAUAUCCGCAGCCCCACGCCUACUGUCGGUCUGACUAUGGCCUGGGGUUCAGAGGUUAGAUGGGUGUAGGCAGCACAUGGGACCCCCCGAUCCUCUGGCUGUUUAAGCUUUAAUCCAGUCCGCAGUCGUGACACUGCGGAUGCAACGGGAGCCUGCGGCUUAAUUUGACUCAACACGGGGAAACUCGCCAGGUUAACUUUGGACUGUUACACGUCUGGGCUUGGGAAUGUUUUCAAGUUGGAACACUUGAUUACCAGUGCUGCUAAUGCAGUGCGACACCUGCUGGUACAAGGGACGUCCCCCUCCGCUGCCCGCAGCGGACGACCGACCUUGUGGUGAGCUUGUCCUGCAAGCCAUCGCAACGCGCGCCAAGCGGUGGGCCACUCCUUGAAAGGAUGGCUAAAUGUAUGUGCUGAUCCCAUGGGAAACCAUGCCCCGGCGAUGAGAGCUUGAAGCCUAACUGCCGGGGGUCUUUUAUAAGGCGGAACGGGGAGUGUUCCCCCGAUUCUGCCAGACACAUUAAGGAUUGACAGAUUGAGAGCUCUUUCUUGAUCAUGUGGGUGGUGGUGCAUGGCCGUUCUUAGUUGGUGGAGUGAUUUGUCUGCUUAAUUGCGAUAACGAACGAGACCUUAACCUGCUAAAUAGCCAGGCCAGCCUCGGCUGGUCGCCGGCUUCUUAGAGGGACUAUCGGCUCAAGCCGAUGGAAGUUUGAGACAAUAACAGGUUAAAACUUAAUUAUUUAAACAGGCCUGUGCAUAGUGCGACCAAGUUCGCAUCCCAGCUCCCGUCGGGGGACCCCGAUCGAGAGUGACACCACUGGUACAGAGGACGGUGCUUGCUUACAAGUGUCUGAUGCUGUGGCGAAUGAUCCCCUGACUUAGGCCAGGUGUUAAGUCGUCUCAACGCGCGGUAAGUGGUGGCUAUUCUUUGAAGAGAAUGGUUUAGGAACGUGCUUCACACUGAGGAAACUGAGUUGUUAUUUGAGCUGUGAUGCCCUUAGAUGCUCUGGGCCGCACGCGCGCUACACUGACAGAGCCAACGAGUAAAUCACCUUGGCCGGAAGGUCUGGGUAAUCUUGUUAAACUCUGUCGUGCUGGGGAUAGAGCAUUGCAAUUAUUGCUCUUCAACGAGGAAUGCCUAGUAAGCGCAAGUCAUCAGCUUGCGUUGAUUACGUCCCUGCCCUGUGAUUGUGGAGAGAAAGGUAUGAGGGGCUUAAAGUUGCACUAGACUACGGGGGGAACGACAGGAAACCAUAAGGGAAUCCCUUUCGAGAUCUGAAGGGGCUUCCCUCGGCGCCCGAAGGUCCUGGUGUCGGUACUCACGUUAUUCCCUCUGGGUUUCCUUCCCCUCCGUCAGUCAAUGCCUUCUAAUUGCGUGGAGUCUCCUCUGGGGUCACCCGCAGCCAAAUCUCUCUCCCCGAGAGAUGCAGUUCACAGACUAGCUGAAGGCGGGUGCUCACCACGGUGAACACUUAAAUUAUAGUCGAUCUGCCCCUGUGAUAGGGGUUGGAGAAUUGUUGUACACACCGCCCGUCGCUACUACCGAUUGAAUGGCUCAGUGAGGCCUUCGGACUGGCUCAGAGAGGUCGGCAACGACCACUCAGAGCC
rnacentral:rRNA from 1 species